rnacentral:lncRNA from 1 species
CGUCGGGGCCGGAGAAGAUCGAGGCCGGGGGGGCGUCGGGGCCGGAGAAGAUCGAGGCCGGGGGGGCGUCGGGGCCGGGGGGGCGUCGGGACCAGGGGAGCGUCGGGGAGUGGGUUGUAUUCAGGGAGGCAGAUGCAUCGGGGAGGAGGAUGCAUUUGGGGAAGGGGGUGCAGGAGGCCUGGUGCACACGAGCCGGCGGUCGAGCCCGGUGCCGGGGGCAGCGGAGCCGCUCCUUGCUCCGGGCACGGGGCUGCAAGCCCGCGUGCCCCUGGAAGGGCUGCCGGACGGGCAGUGAGGGUGCAUUUUCUUUCCCUUGCAGCCCUCCGGAAGCCGCAGCAGCGCGUCGGCGAGCCUGCAGGGACCCGCACCCCAGCACCCCAUCCCACGGGAAGAGCAGCCUCCUCUCCAGGGCGAGCUACUUUUCCUGCCCGGCGUUCCCAGCCGACUGCCCAUCCCCAAGGAGGUGGGGAAAGCAGCCCUGGCCGCUCCGGGGCGAUUUAGGUCCCUGGGGCCGCGACGUUUCUGCAGCUGGAUAUCGACAUUCCUCCCGACGGCAGACGUUGAGUCGUAAACCCGGCUCUGUGCACGUGGCCGAGCCGCAGUGCUUUUUUGCCCCCACACAACUCAUUCGGGUUGGAGCGGCUCCGGUUGGGCCAGGCCUGCCCACUGCCCCCCCCGAGGAGCUUGAGGCCUGCCCCCGACGCCCACCUUGCCCUUAAAGGCAGGGUUGAGAGACUUUAAGAGCCUUAAAGUCUCGGGGUACUCUUAAAGGCACUUUAGGAAUAACCUAAGGAACUCAGCCUAACUUUAAGAACUUAAGACUAAUGUUCUUGAAGUUUGGCUGAGUUCCUUAGGCUAUUCCUAAAGUGACUUUAAGGGUACCCAGAGACUUUAAGACUCUUAAAGUCACUUUAAGAAUAACCUAAGGAACUCAGCCAAACUUCAAGAACAUUGGUCUUAUGUUCUUAAAGUUGGGCUGAGUUCCUUAAGUUAUUCUUAAAGUGACUUUAAGAGCCUUAAAGUUUCUGGGUACCCUUAAAGUCACUUUAAGAACUUAAGAAUAAAGUUCUUAAAGUUAGUCUGAGUUCCUUAGGU